rnacentral:rRNA from 1 species
UACGGGGGGGCAAGCGUUGUUCGGAAUUACUGGGCGUAAAGGGCUCGUAGGCGGCCAACUAAGUCAGACGUGAAAUCCCUCGGCUUAACCGGGGAACUGCGUCUGAUACUGGAUGGCUUGAGUGUGGGAGAGGGAUGGCGGAAUUCCAGGUGUAGCGGUGAAAUGCGUAGAUAUCUGGAGGAACACCGGUGGCGAAGGCGGCAUCCUGGACCGACACUGACACU